rnacentral:lncRNA from 1 species
CUUUCUCCGCUCGCCGGGCACCUUAAAGGGACCAGAGGCCUCCGUGGUUAGUUCCGCCGCGGGGCGGGGGGGACUCCGGGUCCUCCUCGCCGAAGCCUCCGGGACCGGUCCCCACCGAGACACCGCGGCCGUCGGAAACCCUAGCCAGGCGCACCUGGACGCACAGGCUUCAGAUCAUGCUUUUGGCAUCCUGUCUAAAAAACUCUUUGCCUUUGGGAGGCCGAGGUGGGCGGAUCAUGAGGUCAAGAAAUCGAGACCAUCCUGGCCAACAUGGUGAAACCCCCUCUCUACUAAAAAUACAAAAAUCAGCUGGGCAAGGUGGCAAGCGCCUGUAGUCCCAGCUACUCAAGAGGCUGAGGCAGGAGAAUCGCUUGAACCCAGGAGGCGGAGGUUGCAGCGAGCCAAGAUCGCGCUGAGAGGUGAAGCCAGCUGGGCUUCUGGGUCGGUUGGGGACUUGGAGAACUCUUGUGUCUAGCUAAAGGAUUGUAAACGCACCAAUCAGCACUCUGUAAAAAUGUACCAAUCGGCACUCUGUAAAAUGGACCAAUCGGUGCUCUGUAAAAUGGACCAAUCAGCACUCUGUAAAAUGGAUCAAUCAGCAGGAUGUGGGUGGGGGCCAAAUAAGGGAAUAAAAGCUAUCCACCAGAGCUGGUAAAAUAAAGCUGGCUGCUGCUAGGGUUUUGUGUCCAGGCUAACUUAUGAGCUGUAACCCUCACCACGUGGGGCUGCGAAGUCAGUGAGACCAGGAUGCCACCAGGGAGGAACAAACAGCUCUGCACAUGCCACCUUUAAGAGUUGUAACACUCAUUGUCAAGGUCUGCCUCUUCACUCCUGAAGUCAGUGAGACCAGGAACCCGCCAGAAGGAAGAAACUCUGGAGACAUCUGAAUAUUAGAAGGAACAGACUCCGGAUACACUAUCUUUAAGAACUGUAACACUCACCGUGAGAGUCCAUGGCUUCAUUAUUUAAGUCAGCGAGACCAAGAGCCCACCAGAAAGAAAAAAUUCCGGACACAGCACCACUACACUCCAGCCUGGAGACAGAGUGAGAGUCUGUAUCAAAAACAAUAACAAAAAUUGAUUUCUAAAUGUUUAUAGUUUUAUGCUUUAUAUUUAGACAGCUUGAGUAAUUUUUUUGUAUAAGGUAUGAGAUUCAGGUCAAGGUUUUUCUCUGUUUUUUUUUAAGAGAUGGGAGGUCUUUCUAUGUUGCUCAGGUUGGACUUGAACUCAUGGACUCAAUGGACUUUGACUCCUCGACUCAAUUGCUUCUUCUGCCUCAGCUUCCUGAGUAGCUGUGACUAGGUCAGGGUGUUUUUUCUGUUUUUGUUUUUGACAGUCUUGCUCUGUCCCCCAGGCUAGAAUGCAAUGGCGAUUUUGGCUCAUUGCAAACUCUGCUUCCCGGGCUCGGGAUUAUUCUGUCUCAGCCUCCUCAAGUAGUGGGGAUUACAAGUGCCCGCCAACACACCCGGCUAAUUUUUGUAUUUUUAGUAUAGACGAAGUUUCACCAUGCUGGCCAGUAUGGUCUCAACCUCCUGGUUUUAGGUAAUCCGACUGCCUUGGCCUCCCGAAGUGCUAGGAUUACAAGCGUUAACCAUGGCACCCGGCCUAGGUCAGGGUUUUUUUAAAAAGGUUUUAUGGCCAGGGUUGGUGGCUCAUGCCUGUAAACCCAGCACUUUGCAAUGCCAAGCUGGGCAGAUCGCUAGAGGUCAGCUGUUCGAAACCAGCCUGGCCAGCAUGGUGAAACCUCUCUCCUAAAAUUACAAAAAUUAGCUGGGCGUGGUGGCACAUGCUUGUAGUCCCAGCUACUCGGGAGGCUGAGGCAGGAGAAUCGCUUGAAUCUGGGGAGCAGAGGUUGCAGUGAGCCGAGAUCACACCAGUGCACUCCAGCCUGGGUGACGGAGAGAGAUUCCGUCUCGAAAAAUAAUAACAAAUAGAAAAGGUUUUACAUACGAAUGUCCAAUUGUCCCACACCAUUUUUUGAAGACUAUUCUUUUGCCAUUGAAUUGCUUUUGCACUUUUGUGAAAAAAAAAUCAACUGGCCAUAUUAGUGUAAAUAUAAUUCUGGACUCUAUGCUGUUCCAUUAACCUAGCUGUUUGUACCUUUGCCAAUACCACACUGUAUUGAACACUAAUUUCAUCAUGAAUGUUAAAAUAGAAUAAGAUUUCUCCAUUUUGUUCUUCAAAAUUGUUUCAGCUAUUCUAGUUCCUUUGCCUUUCAAAAUAAAUUUUAGGAUCAGCUUGUCCACACAAAAAAAUUCUGCUGGCUGUUCUCACUCAUAUAUGGGAGCUAAAAAAAGAAAAAACAACAACAACAAAAAACUACCAAACAGUUUUUGGAGAAGCUUCAUGGAUCUCGUGAAGGUAAAGAGUAGUCUGGUAGGCCAGGCGGUGACUCACGCCUGUAAUCCCAGCACUUUGGGAGGCCAAGGCAGGCGGAUCACUUGAGGCUAGGAGCUCAAACAGCCUGGGUAACAUGGUGAAACCCUGUCUCUACUAAAAAUACAAAAAGUAGCCGGGCAUGGUGGUAUAUGCAUUUAAUCCCAGCUACUUGGGAGGCUGAGGCAUGAGAAUUGCUUGAACCCAGGAGGCAGAGGUUGAAGUGAGCUGACAUCAUGCCAUUGCAUUCCAUCCUGGGCAACACCACAAUACUCCAUCUCUCAAAAAAAAAAAAAGAGUAGACUGGUAGUUACCAGAGGCCAGGAAGUGGAAAGGGAAGGAGGAAUGAAGAGAGGUGGAGUAAAAGAUACAAAAAAUACAGUCAGGUAGAAGAAUUAAUACCUAGUGUUCUAUAAAUCAGUAAGGUGACUGUAAUAAACAAUCCUGUUACAUAUUUCAAAAUAUCUAGAGAAGAAUUUGAAUGUUCCCAGCAUGAAGAAAAGAUAAAUGUUUAAGGCAAUAGAUAUCUCAAUUACUGUGAUUUGAUCAUUACACAUUAUAUGACUGUAUCAAAAUAUCACAUGUACCCUGAAAAUAUGAACAUCUAUUAUGUAUCAACUUAAAAAAUUUAAAAAUUCUGCUCGGAUUUUGAUUGGAGUUGCAUUAAAUCUGUAGAUCAAUUUAGGCAAAAUUGACAUCAUUACUAUGUUCAGCCUUCCAAUGCAUGAACACAAUAUACCUCUCGAUUUAUUUAGGUCUUUAAUUUCUUUUAUCAGCAUUCUUCAGUUUGAAGCAUAUUGAUCAUAUACAUGUUUUGAUAAAUUUAUACAUAAGUACAGGGGUCUUAAAAAAGUUCACAGACAAUGUGCAUUAUGAAAAUACUGUGCAUGGAUUUCAAAAAAAUUUUGAUUAAUUUAUUAUUAUUAUUAUUACUUUUGAGAGAGGGUCUUGUUUUGUCGCCCAGGCUGGAGUGCACUGGCGCAAUCACAGCUCACUGCAGCCUGGACCUCCUGGGUUCAAGCGAUCCUCCUGCCUCAGCUUCACAAAGUGUUGGGAUUACAGGUGUAAGCCAACGCACCUGGCCUCAAAACUUUUUUGCACCAAAAUAAACUCAUACUAACUUGUUAUAACCUAUCUUAACAGGAGCUAGUUUGAGACACUAAGAAGGAUAAGACAUCAGUUUGAAAAGAGCCCCUAUCAGAGAAACAUGAAUUCUGCUAAAAUUGAAGCAAGAACAAAAAUUAAAUUAAUGGCGAAGCUGGGGUGAGAGAAUGAUAAAAUCAUGAAUCCUUUAUGAAAAGCUUAUGGGAACAAUGCCCUAAAAAAAUCAGCAGUUUACAAAUGGAUAACUUGUUUUAAAAAUGAAUGAGAAGAUGUUGAAGAUGAAGCCCACAGCAGCAGGACAUCCACAUCAGUUUGCAAGGAAAAAAUAAAUCUUGUUUGUGCCCUAAUUGAAGAGGACCAAUGACUAAAGAGCACAAGCAAUAGCCAGCACCAUAAAUGUCUUAACUGGUUCAGUUUAGACAAUUCUGACUGAAAAAUUAAAGUUGAACAAACUUUCCACUCAAUGGGUGCCAAAACUGUUGUUAUCUGCAGAUAAGAGCAGAGCUUAUAAUGGAAAUUUUUAAAAAGUAGAAUCAAGAUCUUGAAGCGUUUUUUUCAACGAAUUGUAACAGACAAUGAAACAUGGUUUUACCACUAUGAUCCUGAAGACAAAGCACAAUCAAAGCAAUGGCCACCGAGAGGUGGAAGGGGUUCAAUCAAAGCAAAAUGAACUGGUCAAGAGCAAAGGUCAUGGCAACAGUGUUUUGGGAUGGACAGGGCAUUUUGCUUGUUGACUUUCUGGAGGGCCAAAGAAUGAUAAGUUUUUUUUUUUUUUUUUUUUUUUUUUGAGACAGGGUCUCAUUUUGUCAUCUGGGCUGAAGUGUAGUGGCACAAUCUCAGCUCACUGCAACCUCUGCCUCCCAGGCUCAAGCGAUCCUCCCAUCUCAGUCCCUAAGUAGCUGGGAACACAGGUGUGCACCAUCACACCCGACUAAUUUUUUUUUAAUUUUUUUUGUAGAGACAGAGUCUUGCCAUGUUGCCCAGGCUGGUCUUGAACUCCUGGGCUCAAGCGAUCCUCCUGCCUUGAUAACAUCUGCUUCUUAUGAGAGUGCUUUGAGAAAGUCAAAGCUUUAGCGGAAAAACGCCCAGGAGAACUUCAACGGAGUUGUUCUCUACCACAACAAUGCUCCUGCUCAUUCCUCUGAUCAAACAAAGGCAAUUUUGCAAGAGUUUCCAUGGGAAAUCAGUACGCAUCUACCUUCCAGUCCUGGUUUGGCUCCUUCUGACUUCUUUUUUGUUUCUCAGUCUUAAAAAAUCUUUAAAGGGCAUCUAUUUUUCUUCAGUUAAUGCUGUAAAAAAAUAUUGCAUUGACAUGGUUAAAUUCCCAGGACCCUCAGUUCUUUAGGAAUGGACUCAAUGGCUGAUAUUAAUAUUAUCAUUUACAAAAGUAUCUUGAACUUGAUGGAGCUUGUGUUGAUAAAUAAAGUUUAUAUUUUUAAUUUUUAUAUUUUGAUUUCACUUUUUCGAGUCCCCUCACAUUUAAUUUUGGGGGAGCCAUUAUAAAUGAUUUUUUGUUCAUUUGUUUGUUUUUUGAUAUGGAGUCUUGCUCUAUUGCCCAGGCUGGAGUGCAGGGGUGCGAUCUUGGCUCACUGAAAC